AAAAAAGCAUCGACAAAGGACCAGUAAAUAAAUAAUGGUGCAAGAGAGUGGAGCCCGUUGGCUGAAAAGCUCCAUCACCCGCUUAUUUAUUGAACCUGCCUUUCGAGCUUUUAGGCAAACCUAAACGUUUCCCCCGGCGUUAACGGGAAUCGAGUGUGCAGGCAUUAGUCUGCAAACAAAGGUGGUACCACGGAAGCAACACCCUUUCGUCCUUUAC
rnacentral:ncRNA from 1 species